GACGAGGGAUCCUAGCGUUGCUCGGAAUUAUUGGGCGUAAAGCGGGUGUAGGUGGCUUGGUAAGUCAGAUGUGAAAGCCCUGGGCUUAACCCAGGAAGUGCAUUUGAUACUGCUAAGCUUGAGUGCGAGAGAGGUUAAUAGAAUACCUGGUGUAGUGGUGAAAUACGUAGAUAUCAGGUGGAACACCGGAGGCGAAGGCGGUUAACUGGCUCGACACUGACACUGAGACCCGAAAGUGCGGGGAUCAAACAGG
rnacentral:rRNA from 1 species